rnacentral:rRNA from 1 species
AACGUAGGACGCAAGCGUUAUCCGGAGUUACUGGGCGUAAAGCGCGCGCAGGCGGUUUCUUAAGUCUGAUGUGAAAGCCCACGGCUCAACCGUGGAGGGUCAUUGGAAACUGGGGAACUUGAGUGCAGAAGAGAAAAGCGGAAUUCCACGGUGUAGCGGUGAAAUGCGUAGGAGAUGUGGAGGAACACCAGUGGCGAAGGCGGCUUUUGGUCUGUAACUGACGCUGAGGCGCGAAAGCG